rnacentral:rRNA from 1 species
UACGGAGGGUGCGAGCGUUGUCCGGAAUCACUGGGCGUAAAGGGCGCGUAGGCGGCUUUGCAAGUGACGGGUGAAAUCCCUCGGCUUAACCGAGGAACUGCCUGUCAAACUGCAUGGCUUGAGACCGGGAGAGGUGAGUGGAAUUCCCAGUGUAGCGGUGAAAUGCGUAGAUAUUGGGAGGAACACCAGUGGCGAAGGCGGCUCACUGGACCGGUACUGACGCUGAUGCGCGAAAGCGUGGGGAGCAAACAGG